CCAGAGAACUUUCCAGAGAUGGAUUGGUGGCCUUCGGGAACUCUGAGACAGGUGCUGCAUGGCUGUCGUCAGCUCGUGUUGUGGAAAUGUUCGGGUUAAGUCCCGCAACGAGCGCAACCCUUAUCCUUUGUUGCCAGCGGUUAGGCCGGGAACUCAAAGGAGACUGCCAGUGAUAAACUGGAGGAAGGUGGGGAUGACGUCAAGUCAUCAUGGCCCUUACGAGUAGGGCUACACACGUGCUACAAUGGCGCAUACAAAGAGAAGCGACCUCGCGAGAGCAAGCGGACCUCAUAAAGUGCGUCGUAGUCCGGAUUGGAGUCUGCAACUCGACUCCAUGAAGUCGGAAUCGCUAGUAAUCGUGGAUCAGAAUGCCACGGUGAAUACGUUCCCGGGCCUUGUACACACCGCCCGUCACACCAUGGGAGUGGGUUGCAAAAGAAGUAGGUAGCUUAACCUUCGGGAGGGCGCUUACCACUUUGUGAUUCAUGACUGGGGUGAAGUCGUAACAAGGUAGGCGUAGUGCU
rnacentral:rRNA from 1 species